rnacentral:rRNA from 1 species
UACGGAGGGGGCUAGCGUUGUCCGAAGUUACUGGGCGUAAAGCGCGCGUAGGCGGGUUGGUAAGUCCGCUGUGAAAGCCCGGAGCUCAACUCCGGAGGUCGGUGGAUACUGCCAGUCUUGAAGGUGCUAGGGGGAGAUGGAAUUACCGGUGUAGCGGUGAAAUGCGUAGAUAUCGGUAGGAACACCAGAGGCGAAGGCGGCCGACUGGAUAGCAACUGACACUCAACUGCGAAAGCGUGGGGAGCAAACAGG